ensembl:lncRNA
AUGCUGUACCAUGGCCUGUUGUGUCAGGUGACCAUACCUAUUUCUCCCAAGCAAUCUAAGGAGCCCCUUUCCCUACAGCUCAACCUGUCUACACCUGAUGGUGACAUUAGUCCUUUCAGUGAACCUGUGGUUAUUACUCCAGAGCAGCUGGACACGAGACUUAAGCCUCCACGAGAGCUCUGUGUGAUUGGCUCUACAGCUACACAGGUACGCCUGUGCUGGAUAGAACCAGAGGGAGGAGCCAAACCCAAAUCAUACCAGAUCUACUGUAAUGACACACUGGUGAAGACCACUGCUCUGCUGGGGGCUACAGUUGGCUGUUUAUCUCCUGGCACCUCCUAUCAGCUGAGUGUGAGUUCACUUGGUCCAGGGGACACAGAGAGUCCUAGAGCAGUAACUGAGGUGAGGACAGCGGAAGAUCAAGAUCAUGCUCCUUCUGCGGUCACUGUAGUUGUCCUGGGACGACAUGAACUGCAGAUAAACUGGGGAGCUCCAGUCGCUCCUUUGGGGAGACUCUUCAAAUAUGAGCUAAGUCUAAAUGGGUGUGUGGUGUACCUGGGCACAGAAAGGUCAUACACUGCUUGUCGCCUGUCUGCUAACACAGCAUACACCUGUGUUGUGACAGCUAUCACCUCCAGGGGGCGCUGCCAGAGCAGUCCGGUCACAAAGAAGACAGCACGGGAUGAAUUCCUGCACUCACAUAGGUAUCUGCACUCUCAUAGCCACCAGUCAGCCUCAAAACACUCCACUCCUUCUUCAAGCAUCCAAGUGAUAAGUGAAGUCAAAAAGAAUGACACAGUUUCUCCAGCUACACUCAAUUCUAAGGUCCAUCCCACUAUGAUCCCGCACAGAGCCCUUGACCUUAGAAAAGACAGGCACAGGCAAACAUCAGUUCCUAAAGGGAUUCAACCUUCCAGUCACACAUCUAAGGAACAUUAUGAGUACAUGUUCCGGUCCUUGACCAUAUCAUCAACCCCAGAGGAUCUCAGACACUUUAAGGCCAAGAUCAGCCCAGCCAGACCGCAGUGGAACUCAGACAGAAAAGUUCCCAUAGACAGAGAGAAACUUCCAGGCAUCAGCAAACAAAUCUGUGAGUUUGUCUUGAUAUGUUUUCUUAAACUAAAGAUGUAACCACUAAAUUAUCACUUCAUUUAAUGUUAGCUGUCAUUUUCUUUUAAAUCCAGCAGAGGAUGUGAGACUGCUUCAGCCUGUUUCGUUUAGUUGGUCUAAUCUGGAAUGGACCAAACAACAUCAAAACAGACCACAAAGGUACAGGCAUGAAUUGUAUAACUAGUCCAUAUUUCAUAAGGAUUGUUAAUAGAAUUUAUUUCUGAUAUAAUUUGAAACCAAUCCUAAUGGGAUCCACUAACUGCCUUCUAAGAAUCUAAUGUUUUUUAUCAGUUCUAUUAAAACAUAAAACAUAAAACAUAAUACAUAGCCUAUUUGGAAGACGAUAUCAAAUAUCAUCACAAACCAAACUCACGUAACAAAUUGUGGACAUCUAGGCUACCAAAAUCAGUGUUUAUAUUAAUACAUAUUUAUUUUAUUUGAAUAUAAAUGAAUGGAUUUAAGAUGUUUCUUUCUCAAUAAUUAACAAAAUCUCAGUAAUAAAUAUAAUAAAUGUUUUAUGUUUAAUUUAUUG